rnacentral:misc_RNA from 1 species
UUCAACAUCAUCAAAUGCAAUGUUGCUAAGAAGGAAAAAUUUGGCUAGAUUGUGAUUGGUCACGCUAUUUCUUAAUAGCAUCACACUGUCAUCCUUUUGCAAAGAAUUUUGAACCACAUCUGUUGAUGCGAUGGAAGCAAAAUGUUUUUCUUUGAGUAACUUGAAGUUCUAGCUUUCCUCUUACAUUCGUCUACUGCUUCAAGAGCUUCUUUUUGUACUUCAGUAGGAACU